UACGAAGGGGGCUAGCGUUGUUCGGAUUUACUGGGCGUAAAGCGCACGUAGGCGGAUUGGUCAGUUAGGGGUGAAAUCCUGGAGCUCAACUCCAGAACUGCCUUUAAUACUGCCAGUCUCGAGUCCGGAAGAGGUAAGUGGAACUCCUAGUGUAGAGGUGGAAUUCGUAGAUAUUCGCAAGAACACCAGUGGCGAAGGCGGCUCACUGGCCCGAUACUGACGCUGAGGUGCGAAAGCGUGGGGAGCAAACAGG
rnacentral:rRNA from 1 species